AAGUAGGGGAUCGUAAGACCUUGCGCUUUUGGAGCGGCCGAUGCCUGAUUAGCUAGUUGGUGGGGUAAAGGCCUACCAAGGCGACGAUCAGUAGUUGGUCUGAGAGGACGACCAGCCACACUGGGACUGAGACACGGCCCAGACUCCUACGGGAGGCAGCAGUGGGGAAUUUUGGACAAUGGGCGAAAGCCUGAUCCAGCAAUGCCGCGUGAGUGAAGAAGGCCUUCGGGUUGUAAAGCUCUUUCAGUCGAGAAGAAAAGGUCGCGACUAAUAAUCGCGACUCAUGACGGUAUCGACAGAAGAAGCACCGGCUAACUACGUGCCAGCAGCCGCGGUAAUACGUAGGGUGCGAGCGUUAAUCGGAAUUACUGGGCGUAAAGGGUGCGCAGGCGGCUUUGUAAGUCAGAUGUGAAAUCCCCGGGCUUAACCUGGGAAUUGCGUUUGAAACUACAAAGCUAGAGU
rnacentral:rRNA from 1 species